AGCACCUUGGCGCAGAGGACGCGCGCAGGGCUCAUAACCCUGAGGUCGUAGGAUCGAAACCUACAGGUGCUA
rnacentral:tRNA from 1 species